rnacentral:rRNA from 1 species
UGGCGAGUUUGAUCCUGGCUCAGAAUGAACGCUGGCGGUAUGCUUAAUACAUGCAAGUCGAACGAAAUAUUUAGCACUUGUGUUAAAUAAUUUAGUGGCGAACGGGUGAGUAACACGUGAGAACUUACCCCUAGGUGAGGUACAACAGUUGGAAACGACUGCUAAUACCACAUAUUACCGGAAGGUGAAAGAAGCAAUUCUCCUAGGGCGGGGCUCGCGCCUGAUUAGCUUGUUGGUGAGGUAAUGGCUUACCAAGGCGACGAUCAGUAUCUGGUUUGAGA